rnacentral:rRNA from 1 species
CGACUUGGAGGUUGUUCCCUUGAGGAGUGGCUUCCGGAGCUAACGCGUUAAGUCGACCGCCUGGGGAGUACGGCCGCAAGGUUAAAACUCAAAUGAAUUGACGGGGGCCCGCACAAGCGGUGGAGCAUGUGGUUUAAUUCGAUGCAACGCGAAAAACCUUACCUACUCUUGACAUCCAGAGAACUUUCCAGAGAUGGAUUGGUGCCUUCGGGAACUCUGAGACAGGUGCUGCAUGGCUGUCGUCAGCUCGUGUUGUGAAAUGUUGGGUUAAGUCCCGCAACGAGCGCAACCCUUAUCCUUUGUUGCCAGCGAUUCGGUCGGGAACUCAAAGGAGACUGCCGGUGAUAAACCGGAGGAAGGUGGGGAUGACGUCAAGUCAUCAUGGCCCUUACGAGUAGGGCUACACACGUGCUACAAUGGCGCAUACAAAGAGAAGCGACCUCGCGAGAGCAAGCGGACCUCACAAAGUGCGUCGUAGUCCGGAUCGGAGUCUGCAACUCGACUCCGUGAAGUCGGAAUCGCUAGUAAUCGUGGAUCAGAAUGCCACGGUGAAUACGUUCCCGGGCCUUGUACACACCGCCCGUCACACCAUGGGAGUGGGUUGCAAAAGAAGUAGGUAGCUUAACCUUCGGGAGGGCGCUUACCACUUUGUGAUUCAUGACUGGGGUGAAGUCGUAACAAGGUACC